CCGUCCCUCCCCUGCCCGGGGUCCCCCCUAUCCCCCUUGUCCCCCCGUCACCUCCACUGCCCCCGCCGCGCCCGGUCCCGGCUACAGCGGCCCCGCCCACAGAAGCACCGCCCCCGCGCCCUCCCAUUGGCUGAGCAGCCCCCUUGCUCCCUUCCCAUUGGCUCUCCCAGCGGACGCUCCUCCCCUCCCCUUCCUGCAGCGUCUUCCGGGUGGUGCCGCACCCCGGGCGCGGGAGAGGCUCGUGGAGGGCGAUGACUGGUGAGAGUGCACGUCAAUCAUGUGCAGAGCAGCCAAUAAAAAGGAAGGCUGGGGAGAGGGCGGGCACUUUCGCCAUAUAAGGGCAAGGCGUCCGCGUUGCUACGCGACGGGCGCGUGGGGAGAGCUGAUUAUUCCCAUGUUUGUUUCCAUGGAAAAACGCCUUUUUUUCUGCUGGAUACAGAGUUGUUGUCACCCAUUCCAGGCCCUUCUGGAAAAAUACUCCUUAAUUCUGGCCUUAAGAGUGUCAGUAGCACCGUAACUUGGUGCUCCGCACCCACGGGAGACCAUGAAUAGGGAGAGACUGGAGACCAGGAAUGGGGAGAGAUUGGACAAAAGCUGAAGGAAAACAGAAUAUUUUAAGGAAUUGCAGCUAACUCCCCCAGAUUUUGGCAUCUAGCAAAGUCAUAAGGCAGUUUUCUACCAGAUGCUCACACAGCAAAUCAUCACCAAUAGGGAAAAAUAACCUGGUUUUUCAGAAAUAAAUUGGGGCAAUUUGAACUGUAUUUCAGAGGAGGCUGAGGGGAGACUCAUCAGGGUCUGCAGCUUCUCAGGGACAGGGUGGGACUGUUGUGGUGUCCUGGGCGGGGCCAGGAGUUGGACUGGAUGAUCCCUGUGGGUCCCUUUCAACUCAGGAUAUUCCAUGAAGCUAAAACUUUCAGAGGAUGUUGUUUCCAUGGUCUCUUUGCCUGGUGCACUUCCAACGAUGAGGACAAGCUACCUUUGAGUCCAAAUAGUCAAGGAACACUCUGCCUGUGCUCAGUUUCAGUGGGAAAGGCAGGAUCCCUCUCUGGGAGCUGGGGCUCUCUCGGAUGUUCACUGAUUUUACUGGGACUGACAAAAGCAGCUGGAUGGACUCGGCUCAACCAACAUCCCAAACACAGCCUGACAGCACCUCAGCUCUGAGAUCUCCACAGCAAAUGGAGCCCAGGGCCAUCCCUGCAGCACUGAGUUCCUGCCAAUUCCAGCCAUUCUGAGCCUGCCAGAGCCUGGAAGUGCUGGGAGGGAACUUUGGGGAUAAUCAGCAUUUCAAGGAUGAGCAAAUCUCUCUUUGCUCCCAGAGGAAACAUCGUGUGUUUUCCUCAGGCACCUAAACACAAUUAGGGAAUAAUUACAGAGCUGUUGAUGUGUUUUCCUGUCAAAAAGGGGGAGAAACACACUUAGAAUCUGUUCCCCAAUUAAAUCUGAUCCAACAGAAGGGAACAACAGGGAUAGCCAGGAGUGCCUGGUGUCUCAUCCCGGCUUUGAUGCCUCUUUGGUACCCUUGGAAUGGUCCAGGCUGAGGUAGAAGCCAAUCCCUUGGGAAUGCCAAUGGCACUGUGAAUCCUUGGCAUUUCCACAGCUUUUCUUAGCAUGGAUCCAGGCCAGCUCAAGGGAUUCCAUAGCCAGCACAUCCUACACCAGAGUUAUUUUUGAUUUUAUCAGGGACAGGGAAGGGAGAUCCCAAUGGCAGGAAGGAGAAGGGUUGUGAAACGCUGGAUCUGCAGCCUGAAUUGUCCCACUGGGUCACAUUGAUGCACCAAAGGGAUUCCAUCUGGAGCCUGAACCUCCAAGGGGAAUUUGCAUUGGAAUCAGCAUUCCAGAGGGAUGCUGGAAGUGUUACCAUGGGAGAAAGUGUGUGCCAGAGGAGCAGUGGGAUCAGGACAGCCUGGCAGAGAAGGGUGGAGACCUCUCUUGCAGCAGCCACCCUUUUGGGAGACCCCUUCAUGUGAGACAUCAUUUAAUGGUCACAACUCCUCACACUUCCCAUCUCCAGGGCUGGAAUGUAGGACGAGGAGGCUAAAACAGGCUGAGGCUCUCGGAUCUCACCCCUGCAGCCUUCCAGGCCAAGUUCCAGGUCUUCCCUCCCUCCUUGGACUUCCUUCUGUGCCUGGUGCUCAUCUCCAGGGGCUGCUGUUUGUGGGUAAGAUCAGCUCUUGCCAGGUGUUUCCCUGAGACUCCUCUGCCAUCAGAGUUUGGUGUUCCAUCAGCCUUGGGCAGCUUGACUUCCCAGAGCAUGAGCCUGCUCCCAACCAGCUUCUGCAGAGCCCAAACUUCCCUGUGUUCAAUUUCUUGUUACUGCAUUUAGUCUCUGGUGACUCCCGAGCUGACAGCUGGUAAAGAUGGCAUGAAACUGAGUUAAUUUUAUUGUCUAAUUUGUGCAAAGCUGAAAUCAGGGUUCUGAAAGCCUUGCUUUGCAUUAUAGUGCUGACACAUCUGCUGCGUGCAUUGGCCUUUGAUUCCUGAAAGUUUGUUUUCCCUCUAUUUCACCGGGAUGAGCAGAUCUUUGUGAUCUUUUGUAAAUGCUUUAACACCAGAACUCAGAAUUCCAGGCUGUUAGGGAGCUCCCCCAGCCCUCCCUGAAUCUCAGAAUCAUCGAAUGAUUUGGGUUGGAAGGGACCUUAAAGAUCACCCCCUUCCAAUCCCAUGGGCAGGGACACCUUCCACUAUCCCAAGUUGCUCCAAACCCCAACCUGGCCUUGAACACUUCCAGGGAUGGGGCAGCCACAGCUUCUCUGGGCAACCUGUGCCAGGGCCUCACCACCCUCACAGGGAAGAAUUCCUUCCCAGUAUCCCAUCUAACUGUGGCCUCCAACUGCGCCACACUCCUGCCCCUUUCCCUCUCCCGUUCUGAUUUUCCUGACAAAGCCCUGAGUUUGAGCAACCCUUGGCUUGUGGAGACAUUGGAGAAGUUGUGGUAUUUCUUGUUUUGAAGCUUAAAAUAGCCUGGAAUUGGCUCUUUAUGUUUCCCAGAGUCUGCUUUGCUCUCCAAACCAAAGUGAAGCCGCCACGACUCGAGCGGGAAUUAAAGGUCCUGGCUUGAAGUCCGUGUGUGUUUUACAGGCCCAGGACAGCUCAAGCAGGAGCCGUUCCCCUGAUAAGAAUUAUUCUGGAUCACGAUAAAAGCCACAUCAGCUUAAGGCUUCUCCAAGCCUCAUUUUAUAGUGGCUAUUAAAGACUGGAGUGAAUUGCUCGGGAUGAUCCCCCAGGCACCACUGGAAAUAGGGAAAGUGGAGGAACAAAGAAAAUGAAACAUGUUUUGGGGCCCUGAAAACCAUCUUUAGAAAGAGCUUGGUGUGAUUAUUAUUAUUUUCAGACCAAUGUUCUCUGCCUAAGUAAUGCCAGCGAAGUGUCUCGAGCAGCUCCCUAAUUUGUGAGGGUCCCAAAGGCACAGCCUUGGGAAAGAAUUGGAUUUACACUUAUGAAAAACAAAUUACAGGCUGAGGGCUCAUUAGAUGAUUUGGAAUUAAUUUAUUGAUCUGAGGCUGGAGUGGGAGGAUAUAGGGGUGGAGAAAUAGCUGAGUGCACUUUAUCCGAAAACACACGGGAUUCUGUCACUGAAGGAGAUCAGGGAGCAGUUUUUUGGUGACUCCUUGGAUUUGAGGAGCUCAUGGAGGGACAGAGGUGCUGAGUUUGGAGCUUCCACGGAUCCUUUGGGAUGAAGGAGAGAAUUCCCUGGCUUUGGCAGCCUGUGAUGGCCUGGGAGCAGAGCAGGGUGCUGUGGGAUGCUGUGCCCUGCUCCAUCAGCACAGCAAUAAAUCUCCCACCUGAAGAUGCUAUCAUUCCCUGGAAAUGGGUGUAGGGAAGAUGAAGCCAGACUGUCCUUGGAGACACAGAGUGACAGGCAAAAGGAAGAUGGCAGGAGGAAAUGUUCCAAUGGGAAUAAGGAAAAACCCCUUUGCAGUGGAGGAGUCACCCCAGGUCAGGGGUGAGAGCAGGGGUGGGAUCUCCAUCCUUGGGAUGCUCAGACUCACUUGGAGAAGGUCCUGAGCUGUCUGCUCGGACCUGAGGAUCAACAAGGCCCCUUCCAACCUCAAUUAAUCCAUGAUAAUCCAAAUAGCUCCAAAUACAAGUGUGCUUUUACCCAGCCUGAGCUCCAGCUUGUGGCCAACACUCCGAAGCCAGUGCUGGAGCACUGGAGCACAAACCAUCCAUGUCCUCUUGCAAAAGGCACCCAAAUCCAGGCAGCUUCAACAGCAACCUUAUUUUUUUGGCCAAAUAUGUGGAAAAUAAAUCAGGCAUUUGCCAUUCAAUGUGAUAUUUUUAUUGCUGUUUUCAGCCAUCUCUGCCCUCUCUGCUUGCUCCCUGUGUGUCCCAGACCUGUCACAGUGGAAAAGUUCCAGUGGAAGCUGGAAACUUGGCAAACUUGUGCAGUAUAAAGCAAACCUGGUGUUUCUUUUUAGAGGCUGAAAAUAAAUACAUUAAAACCAA